AUUCAUCUGAUGAAUCCCGAAUGGGACGAAACGUGUGUCGUGGAU
rnacentral:hammerhead_ribozyme from 1 species